UACGUAGGGGGCAAGCGUUGUCCGGAUUUAUUGGGCGUAAAGAGCGUGUAGGCGGCUGGGUAGGUCCGUUGUGAAAGUCGGGGGCUCAACCCUCGGAUGCCGGUGGAUACUGUCGGGCUUGAGUACGGAAGAGGCGAGUGGAAUUCCUGGUGUAGCGGUGAAAUGCGCAGAUAUCAGGAGGAACACCAAUUGCGAAGGCAGCUCGCUGGGACGUUACUGACGCUGAGACGCGAAAGCGUGGGGAGCAAACAGG
rnacentral:rRNA from 1 species